rnacentral:rRNA from 1 species
GACUGCGUACCUUUUGUAUAAUGGGUCAGCGACUUAUUUUCAGUGGCGAGCUUAACCGAAUAGGGGAGGCGUAGCGAAAGCGAGUCUUAAUAGGGCGUCUAGUCGCUGGGAAUAGACCCGAAACCGGGCGAUCUAUCCAUGGGCAGGUUGAAGGUUGGGUAACACUAACUGGAGGACCGAACCGACUACCUUUGAAAAGUUAGCGGAUGACCUGUGGAUCGGAGUGAAAGGCUAAUCAAGCUCGGAGAUAGCUGGUUCUCCUCGAAAGCUAUUGAGGUAGCGCCUCGCGUCUAACUCAGGGGGGUAGAGCACUGUUACGGCUAGGGGGGACAUAAGUCCUUACCAAACCGUUGCAAACUCCGAAUACCCUGAAGUUCAAUCGCGGGAGACACACGGUGGGAGCUAAAUUUCAUCGUGAAGAGGGAAACAACCCAGACCGCCAGCUAAGGUCCCUAAAACCGGCUAAGUGGGAAACGAAGUGGGAAGGCUAAAACAGUCAGGAUGUUGGCUUAGAAGCAGCCAUCAUUUAAAGAAAGCGUAAUAGCUCACUGGUCGAGUCGGCCUGCGCGGAAGAUGUAACGGGGCUCAAACCAUACACCGAAGCUACGGGUAUCACCUUCGGGUGAUGCGGUAGAGGAGCGUUCUGUAAGUCUGUGAAGGU